AUUAACACUGAUGCUGUUAAAGUUCGAGAUAUGUGAGAAUCUGCUGGUUUUAAAGAGCCAUUUAAAAUGGAUGAGAUUAAUGUGCAGUGCAUAAAAGCAGGAACAUUGCAGGCUUCAGCAUUAAGUGGGAUAUGCGAAUACAUUUGAAUUGAUAAUGCGUUGGUGCAAAGUCUGUGGAAGAAAGCAUACUGCGGACAAGAAAAUCUUCCAGGAAUUUUCAUGACAGUGAUCGUGCUUAUAAUGAAAUGUCACGAGGCACUUCACAUGAGCGUUAUAAAGCCAUGACACCACGGCAUGAAAGAGUCCAACACCGGCAUCUCCAAACCAGGAGAAAGGAAAAAUUCAAAAGCAGAAAAGAGAAAACUCAAGCUUUUGCAGCUGCAAAGAGUUGGAACAUCCUCCAGAA